rnacentral:rRNA from 1 species
UACGAGGGGGGCAAGCGUUGUUCGGAAUUAUUGGGCGUAAAGGGCGCGUAGGCGGUGCGGUAAGUCACCUGUGAAACCUCUAGGCUCAACCUAGAGCCUGCAGGCGAAACUGCCGUGCUUGAGGGUGGGAGAGGUGCGUGGAAUUCCCGGUGUAGCGGUGAAAUGCGUAGAUAUUGGGAGGAACACCAGUGGCGAAGGCGGCUCACUGGACCGGAACUGACGCUGAGGCGCGAAAGCGUGGGGAGCAAACGGG